UGAGCCCAGCCUGCCUCCAGUCCUGUCCUCAAUCACUGCUCAUAGUUUUAUUGCAGGGAGCCGAAGGCCCAUGGGAAAUGACCAACUCGGCAUUCCACUGGAGGCUAUAUGAUCAAACAGCAAACUGUUUAUCAUGAAUGCAGGAUGUGGGCAAACUCACGACUGCUCCUGCCGACAGAAGGGUGCCCCCUGACCCCUUCUUCCAAAUAUACUCUUUUGUCUCUUGUCUUUUAUUCCCAGGUUCGCCCCCUUGGUUCAGUCCCCCUAGGUCCAUGCAGGCUACAAGUGGCACUUGAACAGGCAACAGUCCGAACACAGGGACUAUGAGGACAUGAACGAAGAAGGUCUGCCGGAGCAGAGGAACUGAAAUUGAAAGGUGAACAGGGAUGCCGGGCCGGGUCUGCCAGCAGCGGAUAUAAGGCUGUAAAAUCAGAUGGACUGCCAAUUGGAGAAUGAGAGCUGCCCAGCCUGGCCUUAUGUUCUUUCAAUUAAUUCAUAAACAGAAAGGGGGAUAUGCAGGGAGCCGAAGGCCCGUAGGAUUCGGCAUUCCACUGGAGGCUAUGUGAUCAAACAGCAAACUGUUUAUCAUGAAUGCAGAAUGUGGGCAAACUCACAACUGCUCCUGCCGACAGAAGGUUUGCUGGAGGCAAUCACUCCCUGGCACUGAGGUUAUCUACUGCGACAUCUAGAGCCUGUUGUUCGAGGAAUGCAGUCUUGCAAGCCUACUCUGGACUGAGCAGCUGACCCCUUCUUCCACCCCCCUUCUCACUAUCUCUUUUGCCUAAUAAAUAUGGAG
rnacentral:lncRNA from 1 species